GACGAACGCUGGCGGCGUGCCUAAUACAUGCCAGUCGAACGCUUCUUUCCUCCCGAGUGCUUGCACUCAAUUGGAAAGAGGAGUGGCGGACGGGUGAGUAACACGUGGGUAACCUACCCAUCAGAGGGGGAUAACACUUGGAAACAGGUGCUAAUACCGCAUAACAGUUUAUGCCGCAUGGCAUAAGAGUGAAAGGCGCUUUCGGGUGUCGCUGAUGGGUUGACCCGCGGUGCAUUAGCUAGUUGGUGAGGUAACGGCUCACCAAGGCGACGUUGCAUAGCGGACCUGUGAGGGUGAUCGGCCACACUGGGACUGAGACACGGCCCAGACUCCUACGGGAGGCAGCAGUAGGGAAUCUUCGGCAAUGGACGAAAGUCUGACCGAGCAACGCCGCGUGAGUGAAGAAGGUUUUCGGAUCGUAAAACUCUGUUGUUAGAGAAGAACAAGGACGUUAGUAACUGAACGUCCCCUGACGGUAUCUAACCAGAAAGCCACGGCUAACUACGUG
rnacentral:rRNA from 1 species